GAUGAACGCUAGCUACAGGCUUAACACAUGCAAGUCGAGGGACCGGCGCACGGGUGAGUAACACGUAUCCAACUUGCCCUUUACUCGGGGCUAGCCUUUCGAAAGAAAGAUUAAUACCCGAUCUAUAGGAUGGGGAUGCGUUCCUUUAGUUUGUUGGUGAGGUAUCGGCUCACCAAGCCUUCGAUGGAUAGGGGUUCUGAGGGGAAGGUCCCCCACAUUGGAAAUGCGCCCCGGUCCAAACUCGGACGGGAGGCAGCAGGUAGGAAGAUUGGGCAAUGGGCGCUAGCCGGAACCAGCCAAGUAGCGGGAAAGAUGUAGACGUAGGGGUGGUAAACUUCUUUUAUAUAAGAAUAUGUAUUAUAUGAAUAAGGAUCGGCUAACUCCGUGCCAGCCGCCGCGGUAAUUC
rnacentral:rRNA from 1 species